rnacentral:tRNA from 1 species
GGGGAAUUAGCUCAUUUGGUAGAGCGCUAGCAUGGCAUGUUAGAGGUGACCGGUUCGAGCCCGGUAUUCUCCA